CUCGUUCUUCGCCGUUUGCAGGUGUCGUUGAGCCUUCAUGGACGUGUGAGAGAGUGUUUUGGAAGGCUUUUCGCAGCCCUGAACCAGUAGUUUGCUGGUUGGAAGCCUGAGAAGGUUCUUGAACCACUUGGGGCUAUUUUGGUGACCAGGGGGACUAGUUUGGAAGGUGUUCCAACUAAGGCAAGAGUGCUAUCGACUCUUGGAGUAACUUCAGCUGAUUGGUGAAAGCUCUUGAAGACUCAACUUGAAGUAUUGAGCUAGCUCGAAGCAGGGAAUUAAGUUAUCACAUUGUACUACGUGUAAUUGGAGUCGAAAUUGGAUUAUUAAAUAAUCGUUUCGACGCGAUUUUGAUGCUUUGUUUUCAGCAGAUCCAGAGACUGUUUGAGCUGAGUUGGAGCUUCGGUUGGACUGUUUUGAACUUAGUGAUAGAGCCAUCUACAGGAGAGGCCUAGGAUUCG